CCUACGGGAGGCAGCAGUGAGGAAUAUUGGGCAAUGGGGGCAACCCUGACGCAGCCAUGCCGCGUGAGUGAAGAAGGUCUUCGGAUUGUAAAGCUCUUUCGGCCGUGACGAUGAUGACGGUAGCGUCUAAAGAAGCACCGGCUAACUUCGUGCCAGCAGCCGCGGUAAUACGAAGGGUGCGAGCGUUGUUCGGAUUUAGUGGGCGUAAAGGGAGUGUAGGCGGGAAUGUAAGAUAGUUGUGAAAUACCUGGGCUCAACUGAGGAACUGCCAUUAAGACUAGCUGUCUGGAGUUCUGGUGAGGAAAGUGGAAGUCGGAGUGUAGCGGUGAAAUGCUUAGAUAGUAGGAGGAAAAGCGGUGGCGAAGGCGACUUUCUGGACAGUAAAUGACGUUGAGGCACGAAAGUGUGGGGAGCAAACAGGAUUAGAGACCCGUGUAGUC
rnacentral:rRNA from 1 species